rnacentral:rRNA from 1 species
AGUGGCGGACGGGUGAGUAACGCGUGGGUAACCUACCCAUAAACCCGGGACAACCCUUGGAAACGAGGGCUAAUACCGGAUAAUCUUUGAGAGUGGCAUCACUCUUUAAGAAAAGGUGGCCUCUGAAAAUGCUACCGAUUAUGGAUGGACCCGCGUCUGAUUAGCUAGUUGGUGGGGUAAAGGCCUACCAAGGCGACGAUCAGUAGCCGGCCUGAGAGGGUGAACGGCCACACUGGGACUGAGACACGGCCCAGACUCCUACGGGAGGCAGCAGUGGGGAAUCUUCCGCAAUGGACGAAAGUCUGACGGAGCAACGCCGCGUGUAUGAUGAAGGUCUUCGGAUUGUAAAGUACUGUCUUUGGGGAAGAAUGACUGAUUUGAGAAUAUUGAGUCAGUAUGACGGUACCCAAGGAGGAAGCCCCGGCUAACUACGUGCCAGCAGCCGCGGUAAUACGUAGGGGGCAAGCGUUGUCCGGAAUUAUUGGGCGUAAAGGGCGCGUAGGCGGAUAGUUAAGUCCGGUGUGAAAGAUCAGGGCUCAACCCUGAGAGUGCAUCGGAAACUGGUUAUCUUGAGGACAGGAGAGGAUAGUGGAAUUCCACGUGUAGCGGUGAAAUGCGUAGAUAU